GCCUUCAUGAAUGGAACAGGACAUAGGUAUGUGGCUGCAGUUAUAUCCAAGGACUUGUGGAAAAGAUUACAAAAGAAAACUGGAAGUUGCCCAAAAUAGGAUAUCAAUUUAAGCCAAAUAAACAAAAACCACACUGCUCAAAAUCUGAUUAACAGCAAAAGUAUAAAGAGUUGACUGAUAUGCAAUCUUUGAAAUGAAUCAGUAUGAAGGCAAUGACCUUUCUGACCCCCUUCUAAUGA
rnacentral:misc_RNA from 1 species